UUAAUGAAUCGGAGAUACAAGGGAAAAAAAAAACUUGAACAAGAUACUGAAAGUCUUUGGUUGUCUUCAUCGUUGUCAAUAAGGGCUUUGGGGUUCAUGGGUGUUACUUGGAUGUUAGAUUUGAGAGCAAUGAGGAGUUAGAUUGGUCGUCAUAAGCGGUCGUAGGAGUGUGAUUUUGAGUGGCUUGGUAAAGAAUGUGCUAGGUUCUCUGCGGAUUUGAGUUUUCUAUUGGGCUGUGUGAGUUCCAUUGAGUAUGUAGCCUCAGGUGGGUUAUCAGAAAAAAAGUUAUCUUUUUGUUUUGUUUUGUUUAGGGAAUGUGCUGAAGAGAGUAAGACAAUGGACAGUUAUUUCAUACUAGUUUUCGAUGUUUGUAUCAAUCUAACAACUUUUAGGAGAUGGGUUUAUCUCAAUGGCUUUGCUUUGUCACUAAAGCUUCUAAAUGGGGAGAUUUUGCUCUUUGUUUGCGUGCUCCAAAGCAUACCAUCUCAUCUCUGCUUUGGGACAUACUCUGAUCUGAUACGUGGCUGAGCCUUAAAAUGGUGAACACAAGUGCUUUUGGGAUGCUUCACAUUUUCUUUGAAUUUUUGGUUCUUGCUCUAUUCGUGUAUGCUUUUAAGGUAGCUGUGUCAAUGAUCUCUACGGAUCAGUUUUCUUUUCCUUGGAGUGUUAGUUUGUUUGAUGAUGAUUUUUAUCUCUUCUAUCAAUCUAUGGAUUAUGUGUAGUUUACAUAUUAUUAUAGGCCUCAGAAAGAAGGUGAUUAACUAUCUCUCUCUGAUGGAAGCUGAAGAAGCUCUUAGAUCUGAGGCUAUGGCCGCUGCAAGUAAGGUUUUAAGAAGCAAGACUGUAGUUGCUGCGAGUGGAUUUCUAAGAGCUGAGACCGUGGAUGCUGCUGCGAUUGGGUCUUCACGAGCCGAGACUGUAGCUUCUGCGAGUGGAGUCCCAGUUAUGGUAUGUUCCAAGAGUAAAGAGUUACAUGUAUGUGCAAGGUGCUUAAGUCCUGCUAAGACACGCUGCUCAAGAUGCAAAUCUGUUAGAUACUGCUCUGGGGAGUGCCAAACAAUUCACUGGAGGCUAUCUCAUAAGGAUGAAUGUGUCCCGGUGGAGUACUGUUCUACUUCCACUGGGAAGCUUUCCUGCGACGAAGAACUCGCAAGCUUGGGUGGCUCUCAGGUUGACAAUGCGCCUCAGUUCAAAUGCAAGAAGGCCAACAGAGAAUCGCGUAGAAAGGACGAUGUUCGCAGGUUUGGUACCUCCAAUGAAUUUUCUGGUGGAGAAGCAGCCUGAGUUGGUGGCGGUAGUAAUAGCAUGUUGAAAGGGGAUCACUUUAAACAUAAGUCGAAAAGCAAAGGCUAUGCCGUGGAAGAAAAUCCCUCAUGAAAUACUGUUAACUCUUGCAUGCGAGUGAAUGGACAACCUUUAGCAACUAGUAUGCAGGAAAGUUGCAAACAACAUGAGAGCGAUUUGGAAGGUAGAAACUCUUUUGGCUGUUCAAACAUUCAAUUUCCUACAAAAGGUGGGAAAUAAAAGAAAGAAACCUGUCUUUUACAACAUGGGAACAUAAUGUUGUUGGACAGGUGUCAACAAAUCUGGAGAACAUCAAUGCAGACUCAAGCUGGAAGGGGCAAGUGGCUGAAAUAUCAAAGACAGCAGUUGCAUCUCAAACCAUGGAUAUUAUGAAGAUGAUGGGUUUAAGAAAGUCUACAAAGCUUAAUACUAAUGAACAGCAUGAUGAUCUUCACAAAAAGCUAAAAGAUUGUUUUGUCUCUUUUUUUUUCUUCUGUCUGUUAUGUUUUCAGAUGCUAUUACCAUAUGAGGAGUUUGUUAGACUCUUUCAUAGUGAAGUGUGAACUUGAACAACAUGUAAUGAUGCUUAGAGAAAACGGUGGCCCGCUUUGUGCAAGCAGAGUUCUCUCGCAUAUGCUGUCUGAUUGGUGAUUGGAGUCAAGAAGAUGCUCACGCGCUCUUAAGGCUUUUGGUUGCUUCUAUGCAAUCCAUAUGUUUGGAGAGACGACUCCACUCGAAGGUCUACACCAGAAGAUCUUGAUUUUCAAUUUAAUUUUACUUCUAUUUAAUCAUUUUUCAGACUUUUUUUGGUUACAGUUUUUCCCACCUUUACAAAUAGUCAAUAGAUAAAACAAAUAACAAUAUUAAUAACCA